UUAUUAUCACCAUCAUCAAAUUGUCUUGAGGCAACGUUUGUGAAGAUGCGUGGAGACUAUAAAAGCAACUCAGAAGAACUGUUUGCACCAAUACGAAGCAGUGUGUGUGUGGCAACGCUCGACAAUGUAUCCAAACCCUCUCGAACGAAGGCACUCAACAGUACGUCAAGUGAUUGACAAAUUUUUGUUCCCGGAUGCAAACCGCAAGAACAACAACAACAACACCACCACCACCAAGUACAGAAAUUCAUCGUCGUCUUGGAAUAAGAAAGACGAUCACAGAAAAACGACGUCAGAAUAUCGGAAAUAGAAACUGUUUAUUUGUAAAUCUUGAUAUAUAUUUGUUCAUGUAUAAUUUAUUAAUUAGAGAAGACGUAUGCUGCUUCAUAAAUCUCCUUUGGACUAGAAGAUACGACAAUGGAAUCUGUGAAUAAUCUGCUAAUGGGUAGGAACGCGACUUAUCCACGGUGCAACCACUUACUCGACGAGACAGGCGUUCGGUCUCCCGAGAAUCUGACAUCACGAUACCAGUUCUUCCAUCUACGAAUUACAGUUGAAUGUGACGAGGCUUUUUCGGCAGACAUCCUUCGAGGUACUGGGACCGAAUUGACACUGUGCUCGCUUCUGAGUAGUAUUUAGUAUAUGUUUUGUAGUUUUGUAGACAUUUGUUGCUAUUUCCAAAGAUCCGUGUGAAGAAAGCGCCUGGUAGUGCAAUGUUGAGCGAGCAGUGAUCAGAUAUUAAGUUGAAGUGUUAUGUUUAUGAACCACUGGGUCUGUGACAGUAUUAAUGUAUAUCAGCCAAAGAAUGGACUGUGUUUCUCAAAUGUAUGCACAGUUCACUUUUAUUACUCACAUAAACUUCCCCUAAGUAUUUUUGAGGACUGGGUAAUUAUGCUUUAAGCAUCGAGUUUAGACAUUAGAAAAUGAAUCCUAAUGUUCAAUAGUCAGAAAAUUAAAAAUUUGUUCUAGACCGGUAUGACAAAAUAAGAAUUAUCUUCAUGCAGUGACAAACUCACAAAAAUUUAAAACUGGCGAGAAUAUUUGGCUGCGGAAUGCAACGUUGCCGGGUGAGACAGUACAUGUGCUCCGUCCAAUACAAAAAAUGUUAACAGAUCUCAGUAAUGUCUUAUUUUAAGAAUCAGGGAAACUGAAGGGAAGUAUGUGAGUAAAUAUAAUUGUGCGUACUCAGCCGUCCAACGGAGCUACGGGGGCUGCAACCUGGUUCUUCGUUUUCUUGAUCUAAAUGUAUGCGCCUUUAGGGAUCGUACGCAACAGUUGUGUAGCACGAGGGGAUUCACAUCCUUCUCUGUUGCCUAUAUAUAUUAAAAAAAAAAAAUCGUUUUUCACUGAAUAGAUUGUGACAAAACUUGCUACAGACUAUAUACAACCCUAUUAUCAUAUGAGUUUUCCAGCACUUCAGCAUUCCUUUCUUAAACUCAUAAAAAGUUUAUUCCGACGAAAUUCUGCAAAAAAGUAAUGCAAAUUAAAUUUAGAGCCAUACGCAAGAAUCAGUAUUCUCAGCACACAGAAGGGGAAAAAGAGAAAAAGAAACAUUACUUCGCUACUCGACCAAUGCGUUUAUAAUAAAGGUAAUAGUGUAAUGGAUUGUAAUCAGCGAGUUGCUCACUGGUAAAAUGAAAAGUUUCUAUUUGAAACGAUCCUUAUUGUGUUGUGACUUAUGUUGGUCGUUUUAAACGAAAUCCAGAACUGUGGAGACCCGCCCGGCUGGCUGGAUUUGAGAAACGCCGUCUAAUCCAAUGCAUUAGCUAGUCCGAUGUAGCUCCAUGCUAUUCAUAAAUGCAUUUAUUUUCCUUAGUUUGUGUAUAUUGACAAUAUUAGGGUGUUGUUGAUUUGUAAAUAAAAUAUUUGAUGUAUAUUUCUGUAACUUAAUACUCAAGAAUAAUUUAAUACAUUUUGUACAAGAAUAA